UACGUAGGUGGCAAGCGUUAUCCGGAAUUAUUGGCGUAAAGAGCGCGCAGGUGGUUGAUUAAGUCUGAUGUGAAAGCCCACGGCUUAACCGUGGAGGGUCAUUGGAAACUGGUCGACUUGAGUGCAGAAGAGGGAAGUGGAAUUCCAUGUGUAGCGGUGAAAUGCGUAGAGAUAUGGAGGAACACCAGUGGCGAAGGCGGCUUCCUGGUCUGUAACUGACACUGAGGCGCGAAGGUGCGGGGAGCAAACAGGUUUAGAUACCCU
rnacentral:rRNA from 1 species